rnacentral:rRNA from 1 species
CAUUUGUUCUCUAAAUAAGGACUUGCAUGAAUGGCCACACGAGGGUUUAACUGUCUCUUACUUCCAAUCAGUGAAAUUGACCUUCCCGUGAAGAGGCGGGAAUGAACUAAUAAGACGAGAAGACCCUAUGGAGCUUUAACUAACUAGCCCAAAGACAAACCAAACCUAACCACCAAGGGAUAACAAUGCUCUCCAUGGACUAGCAGUUUCGGUUGGGGUGACCUCGGAGAACAAAAAAUCCUCCGAACGAUUUUAAAGACAAGACUUACAAGUCAAAUUAUGAUAUCGCUUAUUGAYCCAAAAAAUUGAUCAACGGAACAAGUUACCCUAGGGAUAACAGCGCA